CUUGGCAAUUGUACAGCCUUGAAUCCUACUGUACUCAUCAGCGCUAAGUCCACACACUAACCAUUUCUUAGCUUUGGCAUUUUUCUCCCACUUCCUUAGGUCUUCAGCAGUACAAUUAGCUAUUUUUUUUGGAACAUCCAUUCCUUCAGCAUUCUUCUUGGUUGCAAAAAGAGGACCAUCAGUGAUGAUGUCCCAAAGUUCAUAAACUUCACCCAUGAUGUGGUCUUCCAUUCUGUUUUUCC
rnacentral:lncRNA from 1 species